GCAGACAAAAGAGAAACAGAGGAAUAUCAAUACCACAUCACACAGACGCCUGCAUCUCAGUGCUUUUCAUCUAAAGGCCCUCGAAGAGCGCUAGAGAGAGGAUUUCCUGUCUCACUGGACCGGUGACCACAGAUGGAACACUGGGUUUUCCACUCUCCUACAUCACACCUCCCUUCACCUCCCAGCAAAGCUGUUUCUGCAUGUUCUGAAUCUGGUAGGCUUCAAAGCCCAGGGCCGCGAACACAAGCAGGAAGAGCAUCAGCACGACCAGG